rnacentral:rRNA from 1 species
AGAGUUUGAUCCUGGCUCAGAACGAACGCUGGCGGCGCGUUUUAAGCAUGCAAGUCGAACGGUAGAAAGGUGCUUGCACCUUUUGAGAGUGGCGGACGGGUGAGUAACACGUAGAUAAUCUGCCUUUGGAUUGGGGAUAGCAUAUGGAAACAUGUGGUAAUACCGAAUAAGCUCCUAGAAACAUAUGUUUUCUGGAGGAAAGGUGCUUAGGCAUCGUCCGAAGAUGAGUCUGCGGUUCAUUAGCUAGUUGGUGGGGUAAAGGCCUACCAAGGCAACGAUGAAUAGCCGGCCUGAGAGGGUGGACGGCCACACUGGGACUGAGACACGGCCCAGACUCCUACGGGAGGCAGCAGCUAAGAAUCUUCCGCAAUGGGGGAAACCCUGACGGAGCGACGCCGCGUGAACGAUGAAGGCGGAAACGUUGUAAAGUUCUUUUCUUGGGGAGGAAUAAGUCUGGUAGGUAAUGACCGGAUGAUGACGUUAACCAAGGAAUAAGCCCCGGCUAAUUACGUGCCAGCAGCCGCGGUAACACGUAAGGGGCAAGCGUUGUUCGGAAUUAUUGGGCGUAAAGGGCGCGUAGGCGGUUUUACAAGUCUGGUGUGAAAUAUCUCAGCUUAACUGAGGGACCGCGCUGGAAACUGUAAGACUAGAAUCUAGGAGGGGAAGCUGGAAUUCCUGGUGUAGGGGUGAAAUCUGUAGAUAUCAGGAAGAACACCGGUGGCGAAGGCGAGCUUCUGGCCAUAGAUUGACGCUGAGGCGCGAAAGCGUGGGGAGCGAACAGGAUUAGAUACCCUGGUAGUCCACGCUGUAAACGAUGUGCACUAGGUGUUGGGCCUUAAGGCUCAGUGCCGUAGCUAACGCGUUAAGUGCACCGCCUGGGGAGUAUGCCCGCAAGGGUGAAACUCAAAGGAAUUGACGGGGGCCCGCACAAGCGGUGGAGCAUGUGGUUUAAUUCGAUGAUACGCGAGAAACCUUACCAGGGCUUGAC